CGCAGCCUCAACAACGUCAACCCAGAACAAGAGCGAAACCAGAAACACCAGCAGUACGCGACUCGUCCAAAACAGCCACGCAGUGCGCCCAUCGAAUUGAGUCUCGCACGUGUCUCUCUCCCUCGACCUGAUCCUCUUGAAAGUUGGAGGACAAGGCCAGGUGUCUCCAUCUCCUUAAAAGCUCGUUCUUGGCUCAAAAUCGGACGACUCUCCCCUCUUUUCUAUUUGAAAAUGAGGACGAUUUUCGGAGACCAAAGAAUACCCAAAAACUUUUGGGAAUUCUUUGUUCCACAAUUCAAAUUUUAAAACGUUUUGUGGCUUUUUGAGUUAAAGAGGUGGAAUCGUUUCCAAACUCGUUGUCCCGAUUUGCUGCUCAGCACAAGGUAAUCAUGUAUAUUUUCCUUCUUGCUAGUUUAAUUUAAUUUUCUCUGAUUAGAUUUUUCAUUGUGAAGGGUUUUCGUCUGAAUAUUUUUUAGUUAUCUUGUUGGCUUCUUGUCUUCAUAAUAUGAUUGGUAGUUUAGUGUUUUCAAUAUAUUAGAUUGUCUGUGUUUGAUUAUAUCCACAAAAACUUGCAGGUUUUCUUCAACUCUAUUGGAAAAUUAGAAUACCCCUUUUGUUUGAUUGUCAAUAUUUACAGUAAGUUGUAAUUAGAAUACCCCUUUUGUUUGAUUGUCAAUAUUCACAGUAAGUUGUGGAUGAUUAAUGUUCAAGUUUGUCACAUUCAUAUCAGAACAUGUGUUGUAGCUUUAAAAAAAAUAAUCCUUUCAUUUCAUGGUCUCACCUCUUUCACUUAUCACGUCAUUUUAUCCCUCUGAUUGCAUUAUUCUAUCUCGUUAUUUGUGAAAUUUUGUUUGAGAUGAUUAGCUUUUCGUAGUUGUGUUGCUUCUAUGGUUGUUGUUUAAAUUAUUGUUGGCCUGGUAUCAUAGGGAUCAUCUCUAUUUCACUCUCCUGUUACAUGAGUCUGGUCCAUAAAAAUGAAAAAUAAAAUUGUUUCCUUACAAAGUUGUUUUGAGAAGCAUGCUUGGGUAUUUUAUAUCAUGUUUGUGCUUUCUUUCAGCAUUUGUUUCAUAAGAUAUUGACGGCUAUCAUCCUGCUUGCUUAAGUGAUAGUUCUGACCAGUUUAUUGUGCUUACAUUUAAGUGUUAGUUGGGUGUAAAUGGAGCCUGUAGCAGCUUGUUUGGACUGUUAUACUACUGUUUGAAUUAGUUUUCUGGUUGUUUCAUUGUUUGUUUAAAUUAUGAUCAGUUGGCGACUGAAAGGGUGCAAAACUCUAUGUUUAAUAACCUUUGUGCCUCUUCCGUGUAAUUGUUUAAGUUAGAGUAUGACAUUCAUAAUUAUUUCCAUUGCACUUCGUUACUUGCUCAAAUCUCUUAGCAACACCAUGUAGUUAGGAUGACUACGGUUAAGUUCCUUUAUUAGUUUUAAGAAAUUAUAUUUUAUUACUCUAAAAAUAUUGUUCACUCUGUUUUGGAUUUUUUACAUGAUGGUAACUAGAUCGUUUAUUUGACUUGAUAUUAUUCAUAUUGAGGUUCUUAUUUUACUCUUUUCUUUUCCUCCUUUUGCAUGAACACGCUUUCAGUGAAUGAAUCCAAUAGACUCCCCUCUCUUGCAUUUUCCUCUUAUUGAGUCAACCUUCUUCGGAGUUGUGAAAGGGAGCUAAUAUUAUUGGUUUAGACACCAAAAAAUACAGCAGUAGCAGUAGCCUAAAUGGCUAAAAGAAUAGCAUUUUAUCGUACUUGAUAAGUCCCAAAAAUUGCACUAAUUGAGGCAGAGUUACGAUAACCUCAUAAGGCUGAAAAUGAGGAGCAAAUUUGGGUUAAAAUUCCAAAUUAAUGAAGCAGUAGCAGCAGCCUUAGAAAGGCUAAAUUUUUUUUAAAAAAAGUUUUGGACCUUCAAAAGUCCAAGCCAAACGGCAACGACAUCAACCUGAAGGGCUGAGACUUGGGGGUGAAAUAAAAUUUCAGCCGCCCCCUCGUUUUCUUAUUCUCUUAUUUGCAUUGAUAUUAGUAUAAUUUCUUUAUUAUAGUUGAUUGUGAAAACCUAACAACUUUAAAAUUCUCUUCUUGACUUAGAUAAAAUCCCCACGGAGCUCCUGGAGUUUAGUUUAUCAAAUCUUUCUUUUGUAUCUUACAAUUGGUGGCGUUUCAAAUUUUCAUUUAUUCUUCAAACCCUUUUUAAGUUUGAUAAUUUAAGCUUAUAGAAUGACUUGAGAACAUUUUGUGCUCUUUCAUAGUUGUUAAAAAGCUUUGAAUCCA